UGGGGAAUAUUGGACAAUGGGCGAAAGCCUGAUCCAGCCAUGCCGCGUGUGUGAAGAAGGUCUUCGGAUUGUAAAGCACUUUAAGUUGGGAGGAAGGGCAUUAACCUAAUACGUUAGUGUUUUGACGUUACCGACAGAAUAAGCACCGGCUAACUCUGUGCCAGCAGCCGCGGUAAUACAGAGGGUGCAAGCGUUAAUCGGAAUUACUGGGCGUAAAGCGCGCGUAGGUGGUUUGUUAAGUUGGAUGUGAAAUCCCCGGGCUCAACCUGGGAACUUCAUUCAAAACUGACUGACUAGAGUAUGGUAGAGGGUGGUGGAAUUUCCUGUGUAGCGGUGAAAUGCGUAGAUAUAGGAAGGAACACCAGUGGCGAAGGCGACCACCUGGACUAAUACUGACACUGAGUUGCGAAAGCGUGGGGAGCAAACA
rnacentral:rRNA from 1 species